rnacentral:rRNA from 1 species
AAUCAACGCUGGCGGCGUGCCUAACACAUGCAAGUCGAACGCGAAAGUGGAGCAAUCCAUGAGUAGAGUGGCAAACGGGUGAGUAACGCGUGGGCGACCUACCUUUGAGUGGGGGAUAACCUUCCGAAAGGAGGGCUAAUACCGCAUGACAUUCUUUGUUUGGAUACAGAGAAAUCAAAGCCGGGAGCAAUCCUGGCGCUUGAAGAGGGGCCCGCGUCCGAUUAGCUAGNGGUGGGGUAACGGCUCACCAAGGCUCCGAUCGGUAUCCGGCCUGAGAGGGCGGACGGACACACUGGAACUGAGACACGGUCCAGACUCCUACGGGAGGCAGCAGUGGGGAAUUGUUCGCAAUGGGCGCAAGCCUGACGACGCAACGCCGCGUGGAGGAUGAAGACCU